rnacentral:rRNA from 1 species
UGGGGAAUCUUGCACAAUGGGCGAAAGCCUGAUGCAGCGACGCCGCGUGCGGGAUGAAGGCCUUCGGGUUGUAAACCGCUUUCAGCAGGGACGAGGCCGCAAGGUGACGGUACCUGCAGAAGAAGCCCCGGCUAACUACGUGCCAGCAGCCGCGGUAAUACGUAGGGGGCAAGCGUUAUCCGGAUUCAUUGGGCGUAAAGCGCGCGUAGGCGGUUUGUUAGGUCAGGAGUUAAAUCUGGGGGCUCAACCCCUAUCCGCUACUGAUACCGGCAGGCUUGAGUCUGGUAGGGGAAGGCGGAAUUCCAAGUGUAGCGGUGAAAUGCGCGAAUAUUUGGAAGAACACCGGUGGCGAAGGCGGCCUUCUGGGCCACGACUGACGCUGAGGCGCGAAAGCUAGGGGAGCGAACAGG